CCAGCGGAGGGAUCAUUACUG
rnacentral:rRNA from 1 species